AGCGGAGGAAAAGAAACUAAGCUAGGAUSCGCUUAGUAACGGCGAGCGAACCGCGCAAAGCCCAACUUGAAAAUCUCCCUUGGAGAAUUGUAGUCUAUAGAAGUACCCUCUGUAACGGGCGCAGCUCAAGUCUCCUGGAAAGGGGCGUCAGAGAGGGUGAGAACCCCGUAAGCUGUUGCUUUGUUGCCUCACGAGGUGCUUUCAAAGAGUCGGGUUGCUUGGGAAUGCAGCCCAAAUUUGGUGGUAAAUCCCAUCUAAGGCUAAAUAUUGGCGAGAGACCGAUAGCGAACAAGUACCGUGAGGGAAAGAUGAAAAGAACUUUGAAAAGAGAGUUAAAAAGUGCUUGAAAUUGUUGAGGGGGAAGCGUUUGAAUGCUAGAGUGCGCCUAGGCUUAUGGGUUCUUAACGGAGCUCUGUAUGCGCUAGGUGCUGGCCAGCAUGGGUUAGGCGAGCGGGAUAAACGCUGGGGUUGAUACCCGGUCUAUGCCGCUUGCUUGACCAAGGCGUGAAGACUGCCCUUGUCCUUCGGGAACUGCAGUCUCAAGAUGCUGGCAAAAGGCUUUCAACCGACCCGUCUUGAAACACGGACCAAGGAGUCUAACAUGUAUGCGAGUUGGUGGGUGGAAAACCCAUGAAGCGUAAGGAAACUGACUGGUGAGAUGGCCUGUGCCUGCAUCAUCGACCGACCAUGCGUUUCUGCAAAAGGUUUGAGUGCGAGCAUACCUGUUGGGACCCGAAAGAUGGUGAACUAUGCCUGAGCAGGGUGAAGCCAGGUGAAAACCUGGUGGAGGCUCGUAGAUGUGCUGACGUGCAAAUCGCUUUUCGGACUUGGGUAUAGGGGCGAAAGACUAAUCGAACCUUCUAGUA
rnacentral:rRNA from 1 species